AAAGCUUGCCAUUAAACAAAGACAGUUGGUUACGAAGCAAUCAGAUCGUGCAACAAUCGUUUAGGUGGUUUGAUGAAUAUUUCUGUUUCUCUCAACAAAAUUUUGUUUGCUGACCAGUUUAAAAUAAAAUAUACUUACAGGAUCAAUCCAUGUGAGAAACUUCAUAAAUUACAAGACAAUUAGCUCUCAAAUUUACUUUAAAAUGCUCCACGUUUCCACUUCGGCACAGUGAUUUAUCGUUAAAAAAAAAAAAAUUUCCAAUCCAACUUUUAAUUACUUGUCUGAUUCUAAUUUUACCAACAAAAGAAUACGACUAUAACGGAUAACUAGGGCUGUUUUUAUAUCCAGUAUUGCUAAAAUAGCUU